GAUGAACGCUGGCGGCGUGCCUAAUACAUGCAAGUCGAGCGAACAGACGAGGAGCUUGCUCCUCUGACGUUAGCGGCGGACGGGUGAGUAACACGUGGAUAACCUACCUAUAAGACUGGGAUAACUUCGGGAAACCGGAGCUAAUACCGGAUAAUAUAUUGAACCGCAUGGUUCAAUAGUGAAAGACGGUUUUGCUGUCACUUAUAGAUGGAUCCGCGCCGCAUUAGCUAGUUGGUAAGGUAACGGCUUACCAAGGCAACGAUGCGUAGCCGACCUGAGAGGGUGAUCGGCCACACUGGAACUGAGACACGGUCCAGACUCCUACGGGAGGCAGCAGUAGGGAAUCUGCCGCAAUGGGCGAAAGCCUGACGGAGCAACGCCGCGUGAGUGAUGAAGGUCUUCGGAUCGUAAAACUCUGUUAUUAGGGAAGAACAAAUGUGUAAGUAACUAUGCACGUCUUGACGGCACCUAAUCAGAAAGCCACGGCUAACUACGUG
rnacentral:rRNA from 1 species